AAGCAUUACAAAUUCCACUCUGUAACCAUUACAACCAUAAUUUUCAAUUGUCCAAGAUCCCAAAGUAACCAUUCUAAGCCUUUUUCGGGAGAUGAGUCUCAUUUUACAUCUUAAUAUGAGGAAUAGGGUUUAAAAAAUCAGAAUGUUUACAAUUUAAACAUAUAUACCUAUUCAAUACACCGAAAUGUAAUUCGAAGAAUGGCAACCGAGUUAGGAUACAGUAGCAUCUGCGUGUGGUUAGUAUGUAACGGCUCAAGGAUGAGUAAGAAGAUGCUUUUUCAGAAACAGAAAGCAACCCAGAUGGUUUCUGCACUAAUUCUUCAACUAAAACACAGCAUCCGUACAAUGUUGAAUCAUCAGCAACCUGUAAGCGGAAUACAAAUGAGAGAUCACUUUGCUUAAAGUGUUCCUGCCCAAGAAGAAUCUCGUUCAACUCACUCAUGGAAGGAGUUUUUUCAACAGCGUGAACCUCCACACCUCCUGGAAAGCAGAAUGAAAGAAGGUCCUUGUACUUGAGCGGUAACUG
rnacentral:misc_RNA from 1 species